rnacentral:rRNA from 1 species
CAAUAGCGUAUAUUAAAGUUGUUGCAGUUAAAAAGCUCGUAGUUGGAUUUCUGGGAGAGUGCUGAUGUCGGCUGAAUGCUUGUGCAGAUGCGCUCUUCCAUCCUUCUGUUAACGCUUCUUGGUAUUCAUUUACUGGUUUCGGGCUCAGAUAUUUUACCUUGAGAAAAUUAGAGUGUUUCAGGCAGGCUUGCGCCGGAAUACAUUAGCAUGGAAUAAUAGAAUAGGACUUUUGUCUCUUUUGUUGGUUUGAGGGACUGAAGUAAUGAUUAAUAGGGAUAGUUGGGGGCAUUAGUAUUUAAUUGUCAGAGGUGAAAUUCUCGGAUUUGUUAAAGACUAACCUAUGCGAAAGCAUUUGCCAAGGAUGUUUUCAUUAA